AAACUAUUGAAAAGCUGAAAGGCCGCUUCUGGCAUUCUCUCUGAGAAGGAAAUCUGCACAUUGUCUCUGGGAAACUGACUAGUAAAGGAUUGCUUGAAAAAAUUAUAUCAUACCUCAAGUCCCUGUCAAAGGGAUAAUGCCAGAAGGAAAAUGAAGUCCAUCAUAAAUAUUACUUGGUUUGGAUGAUACUCAGAACAAUAUCAGCCCCAGCAUUCUCUGAAGGUCUUCAGCACAGAAGACUCUGGACAUCAUCCAGCUCUGUGGUAACUCAUCUUGCCAACAUUCUCCUCUUCUCAGAUACCCCACAGCAACUGAGAACAGACAGUGGAGAGAUAUUUCAUCAGAACAGAUUGAGAAAGUUAACUUUUCCAAACUUCAGAUCUUCUAGAAAGCACAUAAAAUUGACGUUAUUUGACUGUCUCUUCCAAUUGUCAGGUAAGAGCAACUUGGCAUUAUUUCUAUAACUUACAAAAACAUUCGGUCUACUCAUCAUUUCUAUUUCUUUUCUUUAAAAUUUUGUUUCUGUCAUUUACACUGCUUUAAGAUGUGACAUUUUAAGACCCAUACUUCCUCUGAAAACAAUGCUUCAAGGUGCAAAGCAGUUCUUGAAGAUCAGUUCUGUUCAAAGCUCUGAUGUUAUUCCCAGUUGCACCACCCUUCUGUCCUGUCUCCCGCACUUUCAGCAGUAGACAGAACAUAGUCUGCAAAACACUAGGAAUUUAAUCAUCAUGAAUGAGGUUUGUCUAUCCAUUUGAAAAAUAUGUAAGAGAUCUUGUUUUGGCAAGAAGUAACCAUUCUCAUCAAAGAAGAGUUGAGGUUGUCUUAAGGGAUCUAUUUUAAACCCUGUGUUUAAAAUUUCCAUUAAAAUUAAUGAGAAUUACUCUGUUCUUACCUUUGACAAUUUGGGAAUCCAGUGUUUUUAGUAUGAAAAAAGUUGAGUCUCAAGAAACAAGUCACCUCUCUGCGCUGCAGAAUGAAGACUAGAGGUUUUACAAACCUCACAGUCUUCUCUCCUGGCAAAAUUGAGGUGCUACCAGAUGUGAGUCAAUUAAAGCAAUGUGAAAAAGUUGAUGAUUUGGCUUCUUGGCUAAAUCUCAAGUAAAAAA
rnacentral:lncRNA from 1 species